CUGGCUUAGAACUAACGCUGGCAGUGCGUCUUAAGCAUGCAAGUCAAACGGGAUGUAGCAAUACAUCUAGUGGCGAACGGGUGAGUAACGCGUGGAUGAUCUACCUACGAGAUGGGGAUAACUAUUAGAAAUAGUAGCUAAUACCGAAUAAAGUCAAUUAAUUUGUUAAUGGAUGAAAGGAAGCCUUUAAAGCUUCGCUUGUAGAUGAGUCUGCGUCUUAUUAGCUAGUUGGUAGGGUAAAUGCCUACCAAGGCGAUGAUAAGUAACCGGCCUGAGAGGGUGAACGGUCACACUGGAACUGAGAUACGGUCCAGACUCCUACGGGAGGCAGCAGCUAAGAAUCUUCCGCAAUGGGCGAAAGCCUGACGGAGCGACACUGCGUGAAUGAAGAAGGUCGAAAGAUUGUAAAAUUCUUUUAUAAAUGAGGAAUAAGCUUUGUAGGAAAUGACAAAGUGAUGACGUUAAUUUAUGAAUAAGCCCCGGCUAAUUACGUGCCAGCAGCCGCGGUAAUACGUAAGGGGCGAGCGUUGUUCGGGAUUAUUGGGCGUAAAGG
rnacentral:rRNA from 1 species